GAUGAACGCUAGCGAUAGGCUUAACACAUGCAAGUCGAGGGGCAGCAUGGUCUUAGCUUGCUAAGACUGAUGGCGACCGGCGCACGGGUGCGUAACGCGUAUGCAACUUGCCCCACAGAGGGGGAUAACCCGUCGAAAGACGGACUAAUACCGCGUACACUCCAUCUUGGGCAUCCAAGGUAGAGGAAAUGAAAUUCGCUGUGAGAUAGGCAUGCGUCCCAUUAGCUAGUUGGUGAGGUAACGGCUCACCAAGGCGACGAUGGGUAGGGGAACUGAGAGGUUGAACCCCCACACUGGUACUGAGACACGGAUCAGACUCCUACGGGAGGCAGCAGUGAGGAAUAUUGGUCAAUGGGCGAGAGCCUGAACCAGCCAAGUCGCGUGAAGGAUGACUGUCUUAUGGAUUGUAAACUUCUUUUAUACGGGAAUAACAAGAGUCACGUGUGACUCCCUGCAUGUACCGUAUGAAUAAGCAUCGGCUAACUCCGUG
rnacentral:rRNA from 1 species